ensembl:lncRNA
CUUAGAUAACUGCCCUGCCCUAUGAUGUCACAGCAGGUCUGUGUGAAGGCCCAGUUUGGGAGGUGCAGCUUGGCCAGGGUACUUUAGGCAGUGGAUGUUUUGGGGGCACAGAGAAAGCAGAAAGGUCUGCAUCAAGAGACAACACAAGAGGUGAAAGAGGGACAAGCAAGGGGGAAAUAUUGUCUCUGGGCAAGUCAUUGCUGAAUAUCAAGGUCCUGCGGGUGUGCAGACUCUUGUGCACUGAGCUUAAGGGCUCCAGAUCAAGACUUUCAUCUCCUCGUCUCCUUAUCUCCAAGUUUCCUCUCCGUCCUCCUGAUUGUGACCCCUGUCCUAUCUGUGAAAGAUGGAAAGGUCAACACAGGAGCUCUUUCUGAACUUUAUGAUCGUCCUGAUCACGGUGCUGCUCAUGUGGCUGCUUGUCAAGAGCUACCAGGACGCCUGAGCCAGAAUUGAAAUGAGCGUCUGGCAGGCUCAGUGCUUCACCUGGUUUGUGAUGUUGAAGCUGGAAAGAGAGCAUACAGUGCAGCCUGACCAGCAGAUGGCAGUGUUUGAGUUGGAAACAAGAAAGAGAAGGCCUUUUUCUGACCUCUCAAGAAAUGAAGAGAUGGGCCUUGAAAUGUAGUGGCUGAGUUCUGUAAAAUAGAGAUUAAUUACAUGGAUCUUAGCUUCAUUUUCUUAAGCUUUGGUAUACUUGUUUACAGCUUAGGCACCUCUAACAGUGGCCAUUUUCACAGCUCCAAUUGAUUGACAUGUCAACGUGUGUGCUGAAGCAUAAGUGAAAUAAAAUGAAAGAGAGAAAUGAAGCCGUGUGUGAGCGUCUGGAUGACUGAAACACUGAAAUGUUAGCAUGGCUAAUAAUGAGGGCUAGUAAACCAUGAAUGGAAGCCAAUAGGAGUUACUCAGCAAGAUGCCUGGCUUUCUGUUGUUAGCCAAAAACAAUGGGUUCACAUUUACUCAGUGUACCAUUCACUGCACCGUUCAUUGCAUACAUGCUAUCAAAAGCAAAUUACUGAAUACCACUGCAACAUUUAGACAGAC